rnacentral:rRNA from 1 species
GUCCACGCCUUAAACUAUGAAUACUAAGUGUCGGCGGUUUACCGCCGGUGCCGCAGCUAACGCAUUAAGUAUUCCGCCUGGGAAGUACGGCCGCAAGGUUGAAACUCAAAAGGAAUUGACGGGGGCCCGCACAAGCGGUGGAGCAUGUGGUUUAAUUCGACGCAACGCGAAGAACCUUACCCAGGCUGGACAUGCAGGUAGUAGAAGGGUGAAAGCCCAACGAGGGUAGCAAUACCAUCAUGCUCAGGUGCUGCAUGGCUGUCGU